UACAGAGGAGGCAAGCGUUAUCCGGAAUUAUUGGGCGUAAAGCGUCCGUAGGCGGUUUGGCAAGUCUGGGGUUAAAGCCCGGAGCCUAACUCCGGAUCGGCCUUUGAAACUGCCAGACUAGAGUAAGGUAGGGGUUGCGGGAAUUCCCGGUGUAGCGGUGAAAUGCGUAGAGAUCGGGAAGAACACCAGUGGCGAAAGCGGGCAACUGGGCAAUUAAUGACACUGAGGGACGAAAGCUAGGGGAGCGAACGGG
rnacentral:rRNA from 1 species